rnacentral:rRNA from 1 species
UACGUAGGGUGCGAGCGUUAAUCGGAAUUACUGGGCGUAAAGCGUGCGCAGGCGGUUUUGUAAGACAGGCGUGAAAUCCCCGGGCUCAACCUGGGAAUUGCGUUGGAGACUGCAAGGCUGGAGUCUGGCAGAGGGGGGUAGAAUUCCACGUGUAGCAGUGAAAUGCGUAGAGAUGUGGAGGAACACCGAUGGCGAAGGCAGCCCCCUGGGUCAAGACUGACGCUCAUGCACGAAAGCGUGGGGAGCAAACAGG